rnacentral:tRNA from 1 species
UAAGCUUCAGUUUUAGAAAUAUAGUUUUGUCAGGGCUAAGAUCUUAUAGCUUAU